rnacentral:rRNA from 1 species
UACGGAGGGUGCAAGCGUUAUCCGGAUUCACUGGGUUUAAAGGGUGCGUAGGUGGGUUGGUAAGUCAGUGGUGAAAUCUCCAGGCUUAACUUGGAAACUGCCAUUGAUACUAUCAAUCUUGAAUACCGUGGAGGUCAGCGGAAUAUGUCAUGUAGCGGUGAAAUGCUUAGAUAUGACAUAGAACACCAAUUGCGAAGGCAGCUGGCUACACCAAUAUUGACACUGAUGCACGAAAGCGUGGGGAUCAAACAGG